rnacentral:rRNA from 1 species
AACGAACGCUGGCGGCAGGCUUAAUACAUGCAAGUCGAGCGGGCACUUCGGUGUCAGCGGCGCACGGGUGCGUAACGCGUGGGAACAUGCCUUUAGGUACGGAACAACCAAGGGAAACUUUGGCUAAUACCGUAUAAUAUCUCUGGAUCAAAGAUUUAUCGCCUAAAGAUUGGCCCGCGUUAGAUUAGGUAGUUGGUGGGGUAAUGGCCUACCAAGCCGACGAUCUAUAGGGGGUCUGAGAGGAUGAUCCCCCACACUGGAACUGAGACACGGUCCAGACUCCUACGGGAGGCAGCAGUAAGGAAUAUUGGACAAUGGGCGAAAGCCUGAUCCAGCCAUGCCGCGUGAGUGAUGAAGGCCUUAGGGUUGUAAAGCUCUUUUAGAUGGGAAGAUAAUGACUGUACCAGCAGAAUAAGCCCCGGCUAAAUUCGUG